rnacentral:tRNA from 1 species
GGGUAUAUAGCUCAGUGGUAGAGCAUGUGCUUAGCAUGCGCAAGGUCCUAGGUUUAAUCCCCAGAACCUCCA